GGCCUGAUGGUCUAGUGGUACGAUGCUUGCUUCGGGGAAUGCCAUUCUAGGCAUAGUAAUACCGCCCUUCAUGGAAAGGCUGAAAUGCAAGAGGUCCCGGGUUCAAUUCCCGGUCAGGCCC
rfam:Pleurotus ostreatus PC15 unplaced genomic scaffold scaffold_07, whole genome shotgun sequence.